rnacentral:rRNA from 1 species
CAUGCAAGUCGAACGGCAGCAUGAUCUAGCUUGCUAGAUUGAUGGCGAGUGGCGAACGGGUGAGUAAUACAUCGGAACGUGCCCUGUAGUGGGGGAUAACUAGUCGAAAGAUUAGCUAAUACCGCAUACGACCUGAGGGUGAAAGUGGGGGACCGCAAGGCCUCAUGCUAUAGGAGCGGCCGAUGUCUGAUUAGCUAGUUGGUGGGGUAAAGGCCCACCAAGGCGACGAUCAGUAGCUGGUCUGAGAGGACGAUCAGCCACACUGGGACUGAGACACGGCCCAGACUCCUACGGGAGGCAGCAGUGGGGAAUUUUGGACAAUGGGCGAAAGCCUGAUCCAGCAAUGCCGCGUGUGUGAAGAAGGCCUUCGGGUUGUAAAGCACUUUUGUCCGGAAAGAAAUGGCUCUGGUUAAUACCUGGGGUCGAUGACGGUACCGGAAGAAUAAGGACCGGCUAACUACGUGCCAGCAGCCGCGGUAAUACGUAGGGUCCAAGCGUUAAUCGGAAUUACUGGGCGUAAAGCGUGCGCAGGCGGUUGUGCAAGACCGAUGUGAAAUCCCCGAGCUUAACUUGGGAAUUGCAUUGGUGACUGCACGGCUAGAGUGUGUCAGAGGGGGGUAGAAUUCCACGUGUAGCAGUGAAAUGCGUAGAGAUGUGGAGGAAUACCGAUGGCGAAGGCAGCCCCCUGGGAUAACACUGACGCUCAUGCACGAAAGCGUGGGGAGCAAACAGGAUUAGAUACCCUGGUAGUCCACGCCCUAAACGAUGUCAACUAGUUGUUGGGGAUUCAUUUCCUUAGUAACGUAGCUAACGCGUGAAGUUGACCGCCUGGGGAGUACGGUCGCAAGAUUAAAACUCAAAGGAAUUGACGGGGACC